UACGUAGGGGGCAAGCGUUGUCCGGAUUUAUUGGGCGUAAAGAGCGUGUAGGCGGCUUUACAGGUCCGUUGUGAAAACUCGAGGCUCAACCUCGAGACGCCGGUGGAAACCGUAAGGCUAGAGUCCGGAAGAGGAGAGUGGAAUUCCUGGUGUAGCGGUGAAGUGCGCAGAUAUCAGGAGGAACACCGGUGGCGAAGGCGGGUCUCUGGGCCGAUACUGACGCUGAGGAGCGAAAGCGUGGGGAGCGAACAGG
rnacentral:rRNA from 1 species